CGCGGCCUAUCAGCUUGUUGGUGGGGUAGUGGCCUACCAAGGCGACGACGGGUAGCCGGCCUGAGAGGGUGACCGGCCACACUGGGACUGAGACACGGCCCAGACUCCUACGGGAGGCAGCAGCGGGGAAUAUUGCGCAAUGGGCGGAAGCCUGACGCAGCGACGCCGCGUGGGGGAUGACGGCCUUCGGGUUGUAAACCUCUUUCAGUAGGGACGAAGCGGAAGUGACGGUACCUACAGAAGAAGCACCGGCCAACUACGUGCCAGCAGCCGCGGUAAUACGUAGGGUGCAAGCGUUGUCCGGAAUUAUUGGGCGUAAGGAGCUCGUAGGCGGUUUGUUGCGUCGGCUGUGAAAACCUGAGGCUCAACCUCAGGCCUGCAGUCGAUACGAGCAGACUAGAGUGUUGCAGGGGAGACUGGAAUUCCUGGUGUAGCGGUGAAAUGCGCAGAUAUCAGGAGGAACACCGGUGGCGAAGGCGGGUCUCUGGGCAACAACUGACGCUGAGGAGCGAAAGCGUGGGGAGCGAACAGGAUUAGAUACCCUGGUAGUCCACGCCGUAAACGUUGGGCGCUAGGUGUGGGGCUCAUUCCACGAGUUCCGUGCCGCAGCUAACGCAUUAAGCGCCCCGCCUGGGGAGUACGG
rnacentral:rRNA from 1 species